rnacentral:rRNA from 1 species
CCUACGGGGAGCAGCAGUGGGGAAUAUUGGACAAUGGGCGAAAGCCUGAUCCAGCCAUGCCGCGUGUGUGAAGAAGGCCUUCGGGUUGUAAAGCACUUUCAGUGGGGAAGAAAGCCUUGGGGCUAAUACCCUCGAGGAAGGACAUCACCCACAGAAGAAGCACCGGCUAACUCCGUGCCAGCAGCCGCGGUAAUACGGAGGGUGCGAGCGUUAAUCGGAAUUACUGGGCGUAAAGCGCGCGUAGGCGGUCUGAUAAGCCGGUUGUGAAAGCCCCGGGCUCAACCUGGGAACGGCAUCCGGAACUGUCAGGCUAGAGUGCAGGAGAGGAAGGUAGAAUUCCCGGUGUAGCGGUGAAAUGCGUAGAGAUCGGGAGGAAUACCAGUGGCGAAGGCGGCCUUCUGGACUGACACUGACGCUGAGGUGCGAAAGCGUGGGUAGCAAACAGGAUUAGAUAACCCCAGUAGUC